rnacentral:lncRNA from 1 species
UCGGCCAGGCCUGAGAUGCCGGGAGGGUUUGACCCUGGGGCUGCAUGGACAGCUUAGCGCUCGGCCGCUGGCGACAGCGGAGGGCGGAGGAUCUGCAGGUUCCGGGGGACGUGACAUGUUUUGAGCGCCUGCUGUGUCUCAAGCCCUGUCCUAGGCACUGGAGAUGAGAUGAAGAAACGAUGAGUAGAGGCCUUGCUUACGUUUAUCCUGCAACUCAUGAUGAGGCUUACUCUGCAACUCCAGUGCUCGGCUUUUUACACAGUAUGCUGGAGUUUGCUGGAGGUCCACUCCAGACCCUGUUUGUCUGGGUAUCACCAGCAGAGGCUGCAGAACACCAAAGAUUGCUGCCUGUUCCUUCUUCUGGAAGCUUCGUCCCAGAGGGGCACCUGCCAGAUGCCAGCUGGAGCUCUCCUCUAUGAGAAACGGGUAUGCAGGAGAUUAGAAGCCAGUGGGCAUGAGCGUGGCUGCCACCAGGUGAAUGCCUGUGCCCUGGCGUCCUGGGGCCCAGAGGACCGGGAGCUUCCAUCAAGAGGCUGCCUCCCAGCACCAAGGCCAGAGAGUGGCCAGGGGAGGCUAAGUACAGGGAUUUCUCAGAAUGGUGGAAGGAGCUCAGCCCAGCCUUGCCCAAGAUGUAUUGCAGGGGAAUCUGGACAUUUUAGCCAUACCAAGAAUCAUUAGAAGAUGCAAGCUGGAAAAAAGAAGGUCCCAGUUUUGGUUUUGAACCCUUCAUGUUGCAGCAAAUGUGAAUCUCCUACAGAUGGGUUUGGGGACUUACCUGUUCAAAUAGCAGCCCGGUGUCCUCUGUGGGUGGGGGGAGGUUUGUCUGUCCUUUCAUUCUAGUAAAUCCACCAUCCUCUGCACGAGAGCCAGGAGAAUCCACAUCACUUCAAAAGAGCCCCCAAAUCCUUACUACGUACUACAGCCUCCUUUCGAAUGUUCCUGGUUGAGAGGGAGAUCAAUUGCAUUAUUUACAAGUCAAAAAAUUUUGUAUCAAACUUCCUAUGAGCUUGGGCACUCAUGGCCUAUGGAGGCCCACCCAGACGCAGCCCCGCCAUCAUGCUUUUUCGUUGUUUUGUGGAUGUACCCAGGGCUAUUUACACACUCUUUCAUUAAAAGGCUUAUUUUUAUAUUUAAA